AAACGGAUGGCGUCAUCCCGUCCGCCCUUGGCGCAAGGGGAGGAGGCCUGAAACAAAGGGCUAAAAAUAGAGCGGGGAUCGGGCAAUCCAGGGCUGCGGGGUGACGCUACCUGCCCGGCAUACGGCGGCCGGCGAGGGUCAACCCAGCUUUUUUCGCUGUAGGGUCAAGGAAAGCAGUGAUUCACAGGAGGAGGAGGAGGAGGGAACCACCCUUCCCCCCGGCUGCUUUCUUAGCUAACGCUCAGUAAGCCUGCGCAGGAGGCCGUUCUAUUUAUAACUGUGCCCGGGAGAAUGAGGUAAUGCAGGGAGCUGCGAGGGGGAGCGUGCGUCUCACGUCACCCGGCUCGCGGCUGUUGUUGACAGCGGGCUCCCGUCGUUGCCUGGCAACGCGGUCCACAGGCAGGGCGCGAGGGCGGAAACGGGGCCUCGGGCGUUAACGGAGUCCCCCGCCCAGGAGCCCGCCGCCUUCGAGCGAGGGCAGCCCUUCAACUGUCCCUUGCGCGGCGGGCUCAGGGCUGCCCAAGGGCCCGGCGCCGCCUCUGCCAGGCGCGGGGCAGGCGUCGAGGGGGUUUGUUCCCCCUUAAAGCGGAGCAGGGCGUGAGGUGCGUCGUCACCAGGGAUCCUGGUUUUCUCUGAUUAAAAAAAAUCACCAAUGUUUGGAUUUAAAAAAAACCCCAAAUCCACAUUUUUCUGUGAUAUGUGACGUUUCAUUUUAAUGUAAUUUGGGCUUUUUUUUUUAAUCCCAAAAUUGGUGUUAUGUAUUAAUGGCGUUUCAUUUUAAUCACAGAAAAAUGUGGAUUUUGGAAUUCAAAAAGUACCCAGAAUCCACAUUUUCCUGUGACUAAAAUGAAACACCACUAUAUCUAUCUCCGUAGAGAGAGAGUGAGUGGUGUUUCGUUUUAAUCACGGGAAAAUGUGGAUUUGGGCUACUUCAUCCAAAAAUUGGGUUGUUGGUUUUUUUUUAUUUUUUAUCGGAGAAAACCAGGGUUCCUGGUUGCCACCCCCAAAACAGUAGGUGUUUCCUUUCCCCAGGCAAAAAAGCAAGGAGCAGGUUCCCUAGGAAGCCAAGGGACCUGGGGCCGCCUGGUCCUUGUGCCCUUCAGGAUGGAGGCAAGAGCAAAGGGAACUCCAUGGGAAGGGGCUUAAUCCCCUACAGAGCCGUAGUGGGGGAGCUGGGCAGCAGGCAGGGGGAGCAGCCAGCCCCUGGCCAUGACAGAGGGGUCUGGCACCAGGGAAGGAAGAGUUGAGAUCAGGGAGGUCAUGAGCUGUGCAGUCAGUUGACCCCCUCAGCACUGCCUGGCUAGAAAUGCUGCUGCUUCAUGUUAAACUGUGGGUGAAGCAGAAAUCAAAGCGGGGUGCAGGUGCACCAAGUGCAUACCCCCUGCAUACAAUCACGCCUUGCCCCACAAGAGACCCUUGCUUCUAGGCAGGCUGUGGUUGUUUCGCAUGCUGUUGACUCGCAGCCCCAGGCUACUUGGAGAAUAGUCCCCAGCAUGUUUUCUGAGAGACCCUCCAGCCCGCCUGUCCAUAUUAUUGAGUCUACUCCUAGGCAGAUGCCUUCUAGCUCUGUGCUGCGUUCCUGUGCUGUGGGGGCCCUUUCCAGGAUAGGUGGCUCUGGUGUGAACAAUGAAACCAGCUCACCUCAAAAGCCCAGGACUAAGAUCACCAUGACUGAAGGUUUGUGAGGAUCAAACCAAAAUGUGACCUUUCGUGGAAUCGGCUGCUAGCUCAAUGGCCUGACAUCAAUUUACUGAUCUUUCAUAGUCUUGUUUCUCUGAGAGGAGCUGGAGACUUCUGUUUGUGAGUGUGGGAUAUGCCUAAGUCCUUUGAGAACUGAUGUUAUGCUUUGGCAAAAAGGUGUUUGAGCAGCCCUAGAGAGGAUGUUCCUUUUAUAAAAAGAAAACAUUCCAUACAUACUGUAUCUCGCAGCGAGAACAAAAUGGCAGUGAGUAGGAUGAAACUGCAAGUCUUAAACACUGUUACAAAGAUGGCACAUAAACAAAGAAGUUCUUACAACACAACAUGAAUAGUAGCAAUAACAUUUUCUAAACUUGGAACUUUCCCUAAAUCAUGCUGACAAAUCCAUGUGACCUGUUACAAGAACUGCUUAAGUCACCAUUUCUCUGUUUUUUGAACAUGACUCUUAACUUGUAGACAAGGAAAGGUUGCAGCAUGAUGUAGGUGGAAGAGCACAAAGGACAAUGUGUUAUGCAGUAAAAUGGAGCUAUGACUCAGCUUUUAUCUGAAAGUAAUGCUCAGUUUGUCUACUUCCUCUUGGUUAGCAAGAAGUACCCUAAAGCAUUGGAAUAAUAAGAUGUUCUCAACAUUUAAAUAGGACUCCCUGUUGAAACUUACUAAAAUAGCAAAGAAACAAAAUACUAGUAAUACUGUUAUUUAGCUGUAAAAUCUGCUGUGGGGUUCAUUUGAUUUUUGUAGUGAUUCUAAAUUUAGGGGCAAAUUCUGUCUGCUUGCUCCAUAUACAGAGAUGCUUAAAAAAAGUGGGCUCAGGUGGAAGCUUUCUGUCAAGAGCUUAUCACCUCCAAACCUGUAUACAUUCUGUUCUGAAGACCCUUUUUUUAUUCAUUAUAGGAACUAUGCAGGGUGUUGAGCUACUUUUAUGUUCUCCUUUGAGUACUUACACAUCUAUUCCACUUUAGGCAUGUGCAUACUCAAUAUACUGAGGUUGGAGAGCUGUCUGUGGCAGUACCCUUUAGUAUAGUACACAUCCCAGUCAUCACAUCAUCUUCCACCUGAGGCACUACAGUCUUGUCUUAAUAACUUCUUAUCACUCAGGGCUGUGAGAUGGAACUCCAGUGCACUUUUGCUCACAUUUCCUGAUGGGCAUUCUGUAGUAUGAACAUCUUAGUAUAAGUAGAAGUAUUUCACUGAAGCAAAUUCCUUUAAUUUAGUUGUUUUUAAUUAUAUAGGUCAUCUGUUCAUCCCCACAUAAUGCAGAAGUUCCAGGACUCCAAAUAUUGUAUUUUUGUUGCAAAGCAGUAGCAACCAGAGACCUCUAUUCUUGUUGCCUGAUGUCUUUGAAUGGGGAUGGAGUGUUGUAACUGUGAUGGUUCAGGACAUAUGCAAGAAACAAGGAUUUGGGGGUUGAUAUCAUUUAUUGGGACCAACUGUGUAUUUGGGAGAAAUGUGUUAGGCAAGAUUCUGGGCACAAAGUGCUCUCCUCAGGUUUGUGGGGGGGAAAGCAGGUAUAACCUAAGCCAAGUAACAGAAAACUUUGCAAGCAUCUGGAGCAUCAGUGGCUUAUGUUGUUAAACAUAUGCAAAUGGAAACAGUCACUGAAAGGAAUGGAGAGGGAGUAUAAACUAGGACCAAAGAGAUGAUGCCCCAUUCAGAGGGGAUAAAUCGGAGGGAAGUGUCACAUUUAUAUGUCCUUCAGGAAGAGAUUUUGAAUGUUCCAAUAUCAUUGUGAGCAAUCUCUGUGCGUCUUCUUUGAUCCUUGAUUUGCCACAGCAUCUGCACUCCCUUUUCAAAAUCCUUGUCAAAACCCUUGCUGCAGUCUAGAUGCACUAUAUCCACAACAUUCGGUCAUCCACCCAAGCAAUUACUUAGUCAAAGAAAGAGAUCAAGUUUGUCUGGCAUUUGUUUUUAGUAAAUCCUGUGCUAGCUGCUUGUGAUGAGGCUUUCCUCCUCCACAUGCUUGCGAAUGGCCUUCCUUAGGAAAUGCUUCAGUAACUUCCUGGGUAGUACUGGGAUUAGGGGGGCAGUGCAUGCAUCUUCAGGAGGCCUCAAAUGCCCCUACACUAAUGCUCGCAGUAUGGGGAACAAGCAGGAGGAACUUGCCUUCCUGCUAGCUAACACCAACCCAGACAUAGUGGGGCUCACCAAAACAUGGUGGGACCCAAUGCACGACUGAGCAGUGAACAUCGAGGGUUAUAGGCUAUACAGGAGAGAUAGACAGGGAGGAAAGGUGGGAGUGUGGCACUCUAUGUACACAUCCUCAAUGGGUAGCACUGGGUCAGAGGAAGGGCAGACUUAAGUACUCUGGGUUAGCAUACAAGGAUGUCGGGGAGAAAGGGACUUAAUGGUGGGGGUCUACUACAGACCACCCAACCAAGGAGAAGAGCUAGACCAGGAAUUCUUAAGUCGGCUCACAGAAGCAGUUAGCUCAAAGGAUGUGGUCAUCGUGGGCGACCUAAACUUUCCAGACAUCUGCUGGAAGAAGCAGUCAGCCAGGUCUGACCACUCACAUAGGUUCCUAGCUGAGAUACAGGACCUUCAUCUAACCCAGGAGGUGCACAGCCCCACGAGGGGAGAUGCCUUGUUGGAUCUGGUCUUGGCCAUGGGCGACAACCGGGUGGGGGCACUGCGAGUGCUUGACCACCUGGGCGACAGCGAUCAUCACCUGCUGGAAUUUACCAUCUAGCGCAAGGUGGUGAAGGCCUGCAGCAAGGCAGCAGCCCUGGACUUCAGAAGGGUGAUUUCAAUGAGAUGCGGUGGUACAGCCAAGCCCUCAGAUACCACCGCAUCUGUACUGAAGAGAACACCCGGGAUUGCCACCUCACCAAUCUUAAAAAGGCUUUCACCCAGUAAGGACACUCCUCCAGAGAGGUAGAUCGCACGUUUGAAAGAGCCACCUGGAUACCACGUGAAGAACUGCUGCAGUACAGAAGAAAAACACCCACAAAUCGCACACCGCUGGUUAUGACGUAUCACCCAUCCCUUGAACCUGUACGGAAAAUCCUCAGAAAAUUGUAACCUAUAUUAGAAAGAGACCCUAUUCUUAAAAAGAUCUUCCCAGAGCCACCCAUCCUAGCCUUCAGACAAGCACUGAACCUCGCCAACCUCAUCACCAGAAGCAAGCUUCCUCAAGCCCAGAACACACCAAAAAGAUCCAGACCGUGCCAUGACAAGAAAUUCAAAACCUGCCCCCACAUCUCCACCACCCCCACUAUUACUACACCCCACAACAGAGCCAUCAGCAUCCCAGGAUCUUACAGCUGCACCUCCAGAAAUGUAGUAUAUCUCAUCCAAUGCACCAAGUGCCCUGAUGGAAGAUAUGUAGGAGAAACCAAACAACAACUGCGCACCAGAAUGAAUGCACACGGGAAAUCCAUCAAAGACAGAAACACCCAAUUACCGGUGGGGGCACAUUUCUCACAGGAGGGCCACUCUCUCUCCAAUCUCUCAGUCCUGAUCCUCAAGGGAAACUUACACAACACUUCCCAGAGACAAGCCUAUGAGCUCCAUUUCAUCAACCUGCUGGAUACUAGAGAUCAGGGACUAAACAUAGACAUUGGAUUUUUGAUACAUUACAAUCUGCCUGGCAACUGACUCCCCAGCCCAGCCCCUGGCUUCUUUACUUUUCAUUCCAUCCAGGAAGAGCACACACCAACUGCUGAAGCUUCCUUAGCCUGACGAAGGGUUUUUGAACCCGAAAGCUUGCUUAAUAACUAUUCUCCAACUAUUUGGGUUGGUCUAAUAAAAGAUAUCAAAUUCACCCAAGGAACCUUGUCUGCCUAUGUCCUUAGACCAACACGGAUACAACCUAAACCCCUGCAGCAUGAACUAAGGAACUCUGGGACUUGUAGUUCUUGAGAGACCAUAUUUCAUAGGAAGGCACACAACUCUCUGUCCCUCAAACAAGAAGUCCUAGAGUUCCAAUAAAGAAAUAUUAUUCCAUAUGAGUCCUAGAGAGUGGCUGUGUCAGAAAAAAACUCUGGGAAAGCCAGAUUUCUUUGAUUUUAUUUAUUUAUUUAUUUUUUAACUUUUAACUUGUACUUUUAAAAAAGUUUAACUAGUUAGAAAAAAAGUUAACUCUAAGUUAAAAGUUGACAGCUGAAAAAUUUAACUAGUUAAAGUUAAAAGUUAGUCAUUUCUUUAACUUUUUAACUAGUUAAUUAACUUGUUAAUUCCCAUGACUGAGAAACAUACUUGAAAUGCUCUAAUUUCCUUUAAAACGGGUGUCAAAUUCAUCUGGUCCCAUUGGCUGAAUGAGUGGCACUGGGCCAGUCCUUAAACCAGAUUGAGCCCACAGACCUCCCCUCCCAACUUCCCCUGACCUGUUCCCAUCCCCCUGUGCCAGAUCCAGUGCAUGCAGCAUCCACCCUAGCUGUUCCAGGUGCGUGCUAGGCCCGUGCAAAGUGGAAAGUAUUCACUUCAGAUUUGGUGAUUUGGAGAGACAGUGAUUCAAUUUGGUGAUUCGAAUCACUGUCCCGAUUCGAUUCGGCCAAAUCCAAAUCUGAAGAUAUUCAGCGCUGAAUCUUAUUCAGCCAUAAACUAUACAGGCAGGCAGUGUUGGUGGGAGCAGCCAGGCGAGCCUUAGCUUGAGCUGGCAGCCCCAGGAAAAUCUGCAGCUCGUUCAGCUUCUCCCCCAGCUCCCCCCUUCCCCCCCCCCCGGAGCGAGGUAGGCAGUGCUGGCAGCCCUAGGAGAAACCGCGGAGGCUGCGGGGAAUGAUUGGGGAGCUGGGGGAUCAACCCAGGAACUGGGGAAUCAAACCAGGAGCUAGGGGGAAGCCCCUGUUCAUUCCCUUAGCCUCUGUUCAUUCCUCCCAGCUCUGGGUUCUAUUACCCAGUUCCAGGUUUGAUCCUCCAGCUCCCAUUCAUUCCCCCAUCUCCCCAAUCAUUCCCCCCAGCCCCCACAGCUUUUCUCAGGGCUGCCAGCACUGCCUGCCUUGCCCCAGUGUGGGGGCAACUGGAGGAGCAGCCGGACAAGCCGUGGCUUGAGCCAGCAGCUCCAGGAGAGGCCAUGGGGGGGGAAUGAUUGGGGAGCUGGGGGAAAUGAUUGAGAGCUGGGGGAAACAAUCAGGGAGCUGGGGGAUCAAACCAGGAAGUAGGCAAUCGAAUCGGGAGCUGGGAGAAAGCCCCCAAUCAGUCCCCCCCAGCCCCCACAGCUUCUCCCAGGGCUGCCAGCGCUGCCUGCCUUGCCCCAGCCGGGGGGGCAGCUGGGGGAGCAGCCAGAUGAGCUGGGGCUUCUCCUGGGGCUGAAACUCAAGCCAGGGCUUGUCCAGCUGCUCCCCCAGCUGCUCCUGCCAGCACUACCUAGUGCCUGCCUGUACAGUCUAUGGCUGAAUCUCUCUGAAUUAAUUCAGAGUUGGAGAUUUUUGGAGAUUUGGCCGCUGAAUCAGGCCAAAUCUCCGAAUCAAAUCAGCUUCACGCAGCCCUAGUGCGUGCUGCAUGCACCAUGUCCCAGACCAGUGGUGAGGGUGCUGUGUGUAUCAUGGGUCCCAGACCUGCCAGAAUGGGCACUGCAGACAGCACGGAUCACAGGCCACAUGCCAUAUGCAGCACCCACUCCUCCCAGUCCUGGAUCUCUGCUACACGCAGGAACUGUUCUGACUGGUCUAGAGGCCAUACUGCAUGUUCUGCCUGGUUCAGGAUCCAGUGUGUGUGACAUGCCCCUCCCUCCAUACCUCCCCCCAACCAGUCUGAGAUGCCACACACAGGGCUGGGGAUGGGGGCAUUGUGACGCAGAUCUCAGGCUGGCUGCAGUGGGCACCACAUGCAGCCUGCAUCCCAGGCCCUGUGUGGGCUGGUCCAGCAGCAUAUAUGGGUCAGCUCACACUCAGCAUCAGGGCCAGUGAGUGAGGUGUAUUGAAAUAAUCUUCAAGGUUUGUUUUGUAUCUGCAAAGUUGGCAAUUUGAAACUGCAACCCAUUCCCUUUUCUCAAUAUGUUAGGUAUGUGUGUUGUUGAAAUGAUAUACAAUCAGAGACUCCCAGGACUAAAUAUCAUCACUGGUUCCAAAAAAAUGUUGAGACUUAUCUUGAUUGCAAACCACUGGGAAAGUCCCUUAACAGGUACAUAAAAUGUCUAAUGGGAAGCUAAUUUUAAGAUGGUUAAUGUGGCCAAAACUAUUGGUUAAUGGAACUAGUAAUUAUUCCUAAUAAUAAGAAUAUUUUCCUGUGAACUAUUGGUCUGCAGGACUUGUCUUUCAUGCUAUUUUACAUAUUCACUGCCCUAAAAAUUGAUCUUCAGUUCCCCCCUUAGCUGUCUUACAUGCCAAAAAUGCAGAAAGUGCUUUGCUACGGCCUGCUUCUGGAGUCCUGUUGUCCUGUUUUCAUCAAUGGACAAUACUUUGUAUUCUGCAUAGGUAAAUAAUAUUUUGGGACUAUAAAUUACUCCAUGUAUACAUACAGAAUGAGUAGUGUCUAGCUUCUCACUGCUGUUACUGCUCUGAACAUUGGGCAGACUCAGAGCUCACUUCUUAACCUACUAGAAGUCACAUUUCCAGAGGAAUGGGCGUGUUCAAUCAAAGGUUUACUACAGGUCUGUGUGUCUAUCUUCAAUUACUCUUGCAAGGGCCAUCUCUGUUAACUGGAAUGUGACUUAAUUGGGACAAAAACUCCUGGUUAAGCAGAAUCUAUUCUGGUUCAUGUUAUUUAGGGCGGAAAAUGACUCCUUAAUACAAAGCUAGAAUUACAUUCUUCCUUUCAUAUUGUAAAAAUACGUCCAAGCAUAGCUAGAAGCCAUAUAGAUUUUUGUAUAAUGUAGAUGGGCUGAUAAGACUUAAUUUAGUUGUUAACUUAAUUUAGUUGUUAACUUUUUUACAGGAAGUUGAGCAAAGCCCACCAAAUGUGGUGUGAGAAUAAAUUAGUUUGUGUGAGCUCUGUACUAUACAUGUAGAUACAGUAUUUCUGUAUGCGGAGUGGCAACAGAAUUAGGUACCCUCUGUUAUUAAAUGGUAGAUGGAUGUGGUAGUAGAAGACUGUAUAGCUAAGGUUGCAUGUAGUUUCCAUUCUAACCUCCUAUAUUGUGCCUAUAUGCAAUCUUUAAUUACAUGAUCUAUUUUUACAUAAUGUAAUAUAGCAAUAUAGUACAGGACAAAGCAAUUUUAUAAUCUAGCCAGUAGUAAUACAAAAAUAGAUAAAUAUAUGUGUACACACACACACCCUAUAAAAUAUGAUAGACAUUAGAAAUACAAUUACAUUGCAUUGGGUUGUUUUAUAUUAUACAGUACAUUAAAUAUGGAAACAAUACAUUUUGAUAAUUAACUGCUUUCACAUAUCCUAUAUCUAUGAUUUUUUCAUUAGAAGAUAGACACAGGAGAACAUUUUAAAUAGAAUAUCAAGGACAAUUACUAAUAAAUUGAAUAAGUUACUUCAGGACACUCCAAGAUAAGUAGCUUGCAUCUUAUUAUCACUACUUACAAAUACUGAAUAUCAUGUGACACAAAUACCUGAGUCAUUUACAAUAAAUAUUUAAUUUUGAACCUUGUGUGCAAGUAAUGCUAUUUGGAAAGAAACCAAGUAUUUGGAUUUUGUGUACUCACAGGGUGCGUCUACCUGAGAUGUUUACUGUGGAGCUGCCUGAUUAGCUACACAGCAAAGUCUCCGCAUCUGCACAUGCGGCCCUACUAGUUUGCAGUAAACUAAUAAGUGCUACCGUAAGUUAGUGCUUGUAAAUACAAGUACAAUCCUGCAGCAGCAUUAUUUACUGCACAGCAAUGCAUGUGUAGACACUGACAGGGCUAGCUGGGGCAUGAGGGCUAGCCCCGCACUGAAGCACUCUCGUGCCCCAGCCAGCCCCUGUCCUUGGGCUGGGAGGCUGGCUGCUGGGGCCCCCUGCCAGCUGGGGCUGCUCAACUCUACAUGCUGUGGUCCCAGGCUGGCACACAUGUAAAUGUGGCACCCAGGAACAAUAAACUCUGGCAUGAUAUGCACCAGAGUUUAUUGCUUUGUAUUAAUUGCACAUGUAGAUGCACCCACUGUGGUUGGUAGUUCUUAAUUCUGGGAGAAUAUAUGUUCUACAAAAUAUGGAAAGUAUAUUUUUCAUCAUAUAGGAGGCAUUUUAAUUACUUAAAAUAUUACCAAGAAUGGGAUAACUAAUCUUUAAAUAAGUCAAGCUUGCUUAUAGAGAAACUUAUGUGAAUUACAGUACUCUGUAGAUCUGAACAGUAAUUGGAAAUACAUUUUGUCUUCCUUAAAUCUGUGAUCUAAAAUGACACCAGAGGAGGGAGUUGUAUUUUUCUACAAGUUUUUGGCAAAACCACAUAAAGCAAACAUGUUUUUAAGUUUUGGUACAUGGUCUGUAUUCAGACAAGGCUUAUUGAUGCUUAUUAGUCAGAAUUUAAAAAAAUUAUUACUGUUAUAAUUUUACUCUAUUUUAUUAAUCCUAGAGGCCUGCAUCAGGUUCAAAGGUCUUAUGCUGGCACUGCGCGUAUACAUAUAAUGGGCAAUCCUAGAUCUAAAAAUUAUUUCAAAUUCAUGAAAUAUAUGGCUUUGCCACAAAGUGAGGAGAAACUUUCUGAUUUUGAGUAGCUUCCUCCCCUAAUCCAGCAUAAAAUUGGGAGUUAUGAACACUCUUAGCAACAGUGACAAAUCAUAUUUGCACGAAACCGCCAAGAAGUGAAUCUGAUGAUUUUACUUAUUAGAUAUAUAUAUUUUUGGACUAAGUUAUGCAAUAGAUUUUUGUAAUAUUGUUCAGUAUAUCUCCAGUCACUAUAAAUUCUUAUACUAUGUGCUUUAAAAUAAAUAAUCCUAAUGUAUAUUUAAUGUGCAUUCCUGUAUACCAUAUGAACACCCUAUUACCAUCCAUUGGCACUAGUAAGUGGUUCUUCUUUAUAGAUGUAAUAUAAAAUGUACUAAAAUAUUUGUGCACUGU